AAAAAGGGCUUCUGUUGUGAGUGGCACACAUAGGGCAGCUUGAUUGCUCUACGUACGGAAUUGACAUCAAGAGAUUUCGGAAGCAUAACUUUUUGGUACCUGGGCAGCUAGUGAUUUUUGGUCCUGGCACCCUU